AACACAACAUCGCCUCCAGGCCCUCCAAAGUCCACCAGACACAACAUCAGUCAGAGAACCAGAGAAGACACCAAUCAGCGAUUAAGGUUUUAACAAAGCAGCAGCCCCUGCAUUGAAGUGAACGGAGAACGGUGAACCACAGGCGCCUCCGCCGAUCGCCGAUUGCCGGCCGUCCUCUCCUCCACCAGACACAGACACCAGUCAGCGAUUAAGUUUUAUGUUCAUAUAAAAAAGUGAACCCAGUGAAAAAAAUUUCUGGAUCCGCCACUGCUGCCACAUCACUUUGUCUGGCUGAAGACUAAAUAAUCGGUGAAGAGUUGCCGCAUUGGGGAAAG
rnacentral:lncRNA from 1 species